rnacentral:rRNA from 1 species
CAGAAACUCACAUGAAUUGACGGGACCCCGCACAAGCGGUGGAUCAUGUUGUUUAAUUCGAUGAUACGCGAAGAACCUUACCAGGUCUUGACAUCCCCGCCGAUGCUUUAGAGAUAAAGCGGAGGUAUUCGGGGAGACAGGUGGUGCAUGGUUGUCGUCAGCUCGUGUCGUGAGAUGUUGGGUUAAGUCCCGCAACGAGCGCAACCCCUAUUGCUAGUUACCAUCAUUAAGUUGGGGACUCUAGCGAGACUGCCAGUGAUAAACUGGAGGAAGGUGGGGAUGACGUCAAAUCAUCAUGCCCCUUAUGACCUGGGCUACAAACGUGAUACAAUGGCUGGAACAAAGGGAUGCGAAGCAGUGAUGUGGAGCGAAACCCAUAAAAACAGUCUCAGUUCGGAUUGAAGUCUGCAACUCGACUUCAUGAAGUCGGAAUCGCUAGUAAUCGCGGAUCAGAACGCCGCGGUGAAUACGUUCUCGGGGUUU